rnacentral:misc_RNA from 1 species
UGAGAAGCACGAUGUGCGCAAUAACUUUGCUACGUGAAAAUAUGACCGUUGGAUUGACAUAAAUCAAAUCUUGGACUUUGAUAUGUAAUAGGGAAUAGUUUAGUUAGUCAACGACGAAUGUGAAAGAACAAAAAAUUAUGGUGAUACGUGAAGCAUGGGAUCAUGAACUGUCUUGCUCAAUAUAUUCCCCUUUUUUUCUGUUGAUGAAG